UUAUCUGGUCUCUUGUUUCAGUGCCUCUAGGGGAUCCACGUUCAGAAGCUGACUCUGCAGGCGAGACCAACGUUAUUUUCCCGGUGGCUGUGUUCAAAACCACCCAAAGGGUUUGAGAAAUACUUUAAGAGGAGUGGAAGGAACAAACUCAGAAACAUCAACAGCACCAAAAAAAGAGACUGGUGAACUAGAGAAUGCCGAGUCUGGAGGAGAUGGAGGCAGGAGAGGAGGGAAGCGGGAUGACGUUGCCUGGUGGAGGCGGAUGCAGAAGGGGACUUCUGCAAUCUGGCCCUUUUGGGGGCAGGCGUUGCCAUGGGAUUUUUCUACCUCUAUUUUCGAGAUCCUGGAAGAGAAAUCACUUGGAAGCACUUUGUAUAGUAUUACCUGGCCAGAGGUCUGGUGGACCAGCUGGAAAUCCUGAACAAUUUGUGCGUGUUAUUCCUGCCCCUGGGAUCUCUUCUGAAGUGAGGGGUGAAUUUAAGGCUGAGUAUUCCAGACAUAAGUUUAUUUCGUGUAAAAAUGUAGUUUUCUAUUUUUUUCAGUAAAAUACUCCCUUAGUGUCCAUC
rnacentral:sRNA from 1 species